rnacentral:misc_RNA from 1 species
GUUUUAUUAACUUUUAUUAUUAGACUGAGUUUUACGCGUGGUUUGUAUGUACGAGGGCUGCUGGUGGGUGUCGGCGCUAGGGGCGCGCGCACUAGGCACGCUUCCCCAGCACCAACGCGCACCUCGCGGCGCCCAAGGGCGCCCCAAGGUACUCCCCACCAAAACCCCAAAAACACAAUGCACAAGGGUGUGUGAGAAUCACUUCAUUGAUGAUCCUUCCGCAGGUUCACCUACGGAAA